rnacentral:lncRNA from 1 species
CAGCCCUCGCGGCGCUGCAUAGCAGCAUAAACCCGGCCUGGCUCGAAGCUGCUAGAACGGUUGAGACCCGGCGACAGCAGCAGCGGGGGCUAACGGAACCGAUGGCAGCGGCAACGGAAGGGGAGGAGGCUGUCAUACCGUCACCAGCACCACUGCUGACCAGCAUGCAAGCGAUGGGUAUGAUUGCUGGGCGAAUUGGGUGGCGUAUACCUGGGAUGGCGGAAGCCAUC